rnacentral:lncRNA from 1 species
GGGGCAACUCCAUCCAGUGUGGCCUAAGUCUCAAGACAUGGCUUUGAGCAAACUACAGAUGUGCUUCCUUUCAUCUUGAAAUCCAGCCUGGGAGCAAGCUGUGAGCCUACUGCCUUCCCUCUCCCACCUGCAGCUCCCGGGCCCUGUGCACAUUUGUUUAUCUGGAUGCUUGCUGAGUGCACACCAUGCUCACCUGUCUGGUCAUCUAUUUCCUAGAAGCUUUGGGGGCCAGAUCCUGGGACGAACCAGGCAUCUCCAGAAUUCCUUCCCCAGCAGGCGGGUUACUUUGAGGCCAGAGCUUACUCCUGGCUAAAGACUCACUGCAAGAUUGACUGUGAUUGAUUUCUAAUCUGGGGGCGACCCGCGAUGGCGCAGCCCCUUCACCAGAUGUGUUUGUGGUGGAAGUUAUCCAAGUGACACGGCACCAAAACCUGUGAUCGGUGGCAAAUCCGUACAGGUCUGCGGCAGCCGCAAUUCUCACCUCCUCAGAAGAAAGAAUUCGACCAAGGGGCAGAAGGCAGAAGAAGAGACCGAGACAAGUUUUAGAGCAGGAGUGACAUUUAUUAAAAAGCUUUAGAGCAGGAAUGAAAGGAAGGAAAGGACGCUUGGAAGGGGGCCAAGCAGGUGACUUGAAGGACAGGUGUGUGGUUUGACCUUCGACUUGGGGUUUUAUAUGUUGGCACGCUUCCGGGGUCUGGCCUGCCUUCUCCCCUGAUUCUUCCCUUGGGGUGGGCUGUCCACAUGUGCAGUGGCUGCCAGCCCUUGGGAGGAGCACGCGCUAUGUGUUUACUGGAGUUGCGCGCCUGCUUACCUGAGGCGUUGUUCCCUUACCUGUCAAAUGUCCCUAGGAGGCCAUAGACCAGUUACACUCCACAAUUUUGCCUUUUAAUACACAUGCUUGAGCCCACUCACCCAAUGCCUGAGGUCUUAUGGGGAAGGAUUUUUCUGUCUGUUGGGAGGCUGCCUUUCCCUGGCGUUGGCUGUGACCAAUUAUUAUUUUAGAGAGACAGUUAACAGCCACCCGACCAACACUGAUGGUCGCCUGACAUUCCUGGUUGGGAGGGCCCUCUCCUGCCCUGCUCAUGUCUGACCAGCUGCCUACUGUAACAGAUGGAACAAUAACUCAAGAGAAGCCAUCAGAGCAGGUCACCUGGCACCUCCUGGCCCCUGCCUCGCCUGCAUUCCAGACCCCCUCUACACGUCCCUCUACAAAUUGAAGAGUGGCCAUUUUUGGAAAGGAUUCCGGCCAAUCUCCCCCUUGCUAGCAUGAGAAUGAAGCUCACGCUCUUUCUUUUUUCUUUCUUUUCUUUUUUUUUUUGAGACGGAG